rnacentral:rRNA from 1 species
CGGGAAUAUUGGACAAUGGGCGCAAGCCUGAUCCAGCUACGCCAAGUGAGUGAUGAAGGCCUCCGGGUUGUAAAGCUCUGUCGUAAGGGAAGAUAAUGACGGUACCUUACAAGAAAGCACCGGCUAACUCCGUGCCAGCAGCCGCGGUAAUACGGAGGGUGCAAGCGUUACUCGGAAUUACUGGGCGUAAAGCGAGCGCAGGCGGCUUAUUAAGUCAGGUGUGAAAGCCCGGGGCUCAACCCCGGAACUGCACCUGAAACUGGUAAGCUUGAGGAUGAGAGAGGAAAGUAGAAUUUCUGGUGUAGAGGUGAAAUUCGUUGAUAUCAGAAGGAAUACCCGUGGCGAAGGCG